AAUAUUUGACAAUGGGCGAAAGCCUGAUCGAGCCAUGCCGCGUGUGUGAAGAAGGUCUUCGGAUUGUAAAGCACUCUAAGUUGGGAGGAAGGGUUGUAGAUUAAUACUCUGCAAUUUUGACGUUACCAACAGAAUAAGCACCGGCUAACUUCGUGCCAGCCGCCGCGGUAAUACGAAGGGUUCAGGCGUUAAUCGGAAUUACUGGGCGUAAAGCGCGCGUAGGUGGUUUGUCAAGUUGGAAGUGAAAGCCCCGGGCUCAACCUGGGAACUGCUUUCAAAACUGCUGAGCUAGAGUACGGUAGAGGGUAGUGGAGUUUCCUGUGUAGCGGUGAAAUGCGUAGAUAUAGGAAGGAACACCAGUGGCGAAGGCGACUACCUGGACUGAUACUGACACUGAGGUGCGAAAGCGUGGGGAGCAAACA
rnacentral:rRNA from 1 species